rnacentral:rRNA from 1 species
UACGAAGGGGGCUAGCGUUGCUCGGAAUGACUGGGCGUAAAGGGCGCGUAGGCGGUUUGGUUAGUUAGGCGUGAAAUUCCUGGGCUCAACCUGGGGGCUGCGCUUAAUACAGCCAGACUAGAGUGUGAAAGAGGGUCGUGGAAUUCCCAGUGUAGAGGUGAAAUUCGUAGAUAUUGGGAAGAACACCGGUGGCGAAGGCGGCGACCUGGUUCAUUACUGACGCUGAGGCGCGAAAGCGUGGGGAGCAAACAGGAUUAGAUACCCUGGUAGUCCACGCCGUAAACGAUGUGUGCUGGAUGUUGGGUGACCUAGUCACUCAGUGUCGUAGCUAACGCGGUAAGCACACCGCCUGGGGAGUACGGCCGCAAGGUUGAA